GUCAUGCUUCCCUUUUUUUUUCAGCUCUUCAUAACCUUUCGUAAUUGUAACUGAUAGAGCCGUUUCCAUCAUUACCUCAAUCACGAACCGAGCCAUGAUUCCGUCUCCAUGCAUUCACAUUCAAAACCUUCCAUAUCUCGGUGACCCAUGAGCCUAUAUAACCGAACCCUUCAACCCGUAACAAGAGGCAUGAUCCCUUUUUCUCACCCCCGGUAACAAACAAUGGAACCAAAGGAAACUCAUCGGAGUUCCUGUAACCGCCGGAGAACCGAAAGCCACCGGAGACGUACUGACCAUUAUGCUUUCUCGUUACAACCUCGGUUCGAAUCUUUGGAGUCAUCGGAGUUCAACUCGCAUUUCCUACGUGUUCGGAUAACCGUUUCGUUCUCUUGGAUUUCCCAAUCUUACUCGUGCGUUAUUUACAAGAAAUCGCAACGCAACCACUGAUGAUGAAUCAAGAUUUGAAGAAAUAAAUAGGAUGGCUUAGAAACCCACCUUGAAAUAAUCUAUGUUUUAUGUUUGUUAUUUCCUUAUUAUGACAUUAUGUAUGAAACUUUGG